rnacentral:rRNA from 1 species
UCCUACGGGAGGCAGCAGUAGGGAAUUUUCGUCAAUGGGCGCAAGCCUGAACGAGCGAUGCCGCGUGAGUGAAGAAGGCCUUCGGGUCGUAAAGCUCUGUUGCGGGGGAAAAAAGGCAGCAUCAGGAAAUGGGUGCUGACUGAUGGUGCCCCGCCAGAAAGUCACGGCUAACUACGUGCCAGCAGCCGCGGUAAUACGUAGGUGGCGAGCGUUAUCCGGAAUGAUUGGGCGUAAAGGGUGCGC